rfam:Pteropus alecto contig92676, whole genome shotgun sequence.
GUCUACAACCAUGCCACCCUGAACAAGCUCAAUCCUGUCUGAUCUCAGAAGCUAAGCAGGGUCGGGCCUGGUUAGUAUUUGGAUGGGAGACCCCCAAAUAGGAAGACCAGGUGCUGUAGGCA